AAAAAAAAUAGAUCUAUGCCUGAGAUGCUGGGUGUCCAAAUUACCCUGACUUAAGCAAUCUAUAUUACAUUUAUUAAUGUAUUAAGUAUAUACCAUUCCACAAAUAUAUAAUUACCUUGAAUCAAUUAAAAUGCCUAUUAAUUUCUAAAGAUAAUAUAGCCCAAAUGCUUAUAGCUUGUGCAUGAGAAAUAUGAAGAAUAUUCUUAUUUUUAUUACAUCUUAUUUAUCUAUUGAAUGUGUGUGAGUGUGUGAGCACUGCCAUGCUACAGCACGCCUGUGGAGGUAGGGGAAUAACUUUUGGGAGUCGAUUCUCUCCUUCUACCUUGUGGGUCCCAAGAAUUGAACUCAUGAUAUCAGGCUUGACAACAAGCCCCUUUACCUGCUAAGCCCUUUCACUAGCCCAGAGUGUGCGUUUCAGACAAUAUGGAUUACUUCCCACAAGCAUCAGUCUCCUUAUCUCUACCACAGGGCAGGGUCUGCCAGAAAUAGCCAUGAGCCAUGAAGCAUAAUGGAAUGGAUGGGCUGCUACAGGCGAGAAGGAGAGAGAGAGAGAAAGAGAGAGAGAGAGAGAGAGAGAGAGAGAGAGAGAGGAGAGAAGAGAGAUCAGAUACAGAUUCAGAUACAGAUAGAUGAUGAUACAGAUACAGAUACAGAUACAGAUACAGAUACAGAUAGCUUCUGGUAGGCUGCAACAUGAGCACACUGGAGCACAAGGCAUUUGUUUUAAUGUAAGAUGGCACCAUCUAUAUUUAGGAGAGAGAGGGCCCUUGAUGAAUUCAAAAGCUCUUAACUAACCUUAGCAUCCCUCCAAUUGGUUUCGGUGGCUUUGGUGGAUACCCACAAGUAAAAAUAGAUGGGAAGGCAGGAUGUCCAAUAAUUUGCAGGUUCCCUCCCAUCUCACACAUGUCCAUGAAGCCUGUGGUACCUAGGUGCAGUUGCUGGCUCUCGUGGGCACAGCCAUCAAGACUGCUGGAUGUAAGGCUGCACAUCCCAGCUCCAGAUAACCCACACUAAAGUACUUGCAGUGUUGAUACUGUGGUCCAUCUAAGCUGGCAUCCUGGCUUGUGUGGACAGUAUACAAGGGAGUUGAACCUUCCUCUUUCCCUGAAAGCCCUUGAAAUCUCAGCUUAGUUACUUCCUCUACAUUAAGAAACCAGUUCUUUGAGAGACAAAGAAUUCUGUGACAACCUCUCUCCCUCGCCCCAAAACCGCUCCCCCCCCCAAAAAAAGAAACAAUCUACUCCAAAACCGCUCCCCCCCCCCAAAAAAAAGAAACAAUCUAGACAGGAAGCCAUUGAAGAGAACUUUUAAAUGUGAUAAGGAUGCUACAGUGUAGCUCUUCACAGGUGAUGGCUUCUGGCGUGGGUGCCUAUUUGCUCUUUGACCAUGCUCCAGUGAGUAUAUGGACAACACAAACUAGACUUGAUCUCCUCUCUCUCUCUCUCUCUCUCUCUCUCUCUCUCUCUCUCUCUCUCUCUCUCUCUCCCUCCCUUUUUAUUCUUCUUCUUUUGUUUUGUGGAAGGUCAUAAGGAUUAGAAGUGGACCUGGGAGGAAUGAGAAGUGAAAGUGAUCAAGGGUACAUUUUGUGAAAUUUCCAAAUGAUCAAUAAAAAUGUUAUGUUAAAAACAAAAAGAAAGAAAUCAAUUCAUUCAUAUUUAAUUUAUUUCACCAGUAGAAAUAUGCUGUUGUUUCAAGUUAACAUUUGCAUAAGAAAACUAUUUUAUCCUAAUUAAUACUACUUUUUGAGGUUUAUAGUUAAAGGAUGCAUCCUUUAUGAAUUAAAAAGCAAGUCCUCUUGCUUGCUUACUGACCAUUUUCUACUAAAACACAUUAGCUCAGUGACAGUGAAUUUUGUCUAGUUCACUUGUGUGAGUCCAGGUUAUUGAGCAAAUCUUUGCUCAUGAAAAGGUAUUUAGUAGAUUUCUCAAUGGGACAUGUGUACAUAAAUCUCUGGGAAAGACAGACUAUGCAUAGACCAUUUGUUCUAUCAAUUAGCGGCCAGUGCAUCUAUGCUCAUGUGGGGGAGAAUCAUCUUUCCCCAACUUAAGACUAAAGUGGAAUCAUUUAGAAAUGCCUUGUCUGUUUGUCCUUUCUUCCUGCUUUCCCAGCCCUUUGACAUCAUUAGAGCUGUCCACAUGUCUGCUGCUCCAGGUAGACUCCAAGUAGCUAGGUUAUCUAUCUUAUCUAUCUUAUUUUAUCUAUCCCAGGGCCCAAAACACCACCAAAUGUUUAAGAAAAGUGGGUAAGUAGAUGCUCCACAGCACAUGUCUGCAAAUGGACAGGGAGCGGGCAUACAGAAGUCUAUUUAAUAUGUAGCCCUCCUCUCCCUACCUGAACCCAUUGCUCCCCUCCCAUAAGCCAGAUUCUCUCUAAUAGUAAAUCCAUACAGUUUACUCACUAUAUAGUAAUGUUUACUAUAUAGAGAGUAAACCCAUAAGGGUUUACUUCUGCAAGGCUGGAUAACUAUUAGAUUGCCAAAGACUGUGAACAGGUUGGAAUGUGGCAGAUCCAGUGCCUUAAUUAGGAUCCAUCUUUACUACCUGUAGCCCUGUUCUUAUCCAUCCCUUCCCAUCUCUCUCUCUUCCCAUUAUCUUCCCUUCCCAGCAGAAGACCUGAUGUCCCUCUGUACUGGCUAGUUUUGUGUCAACUUGACACAGAUGGAGUUAUCACAGAGAAAGGAACUUCAGUUGAGGAAAUACCUCCAUGAGAUCCAGCUGUGGGGCAUUUUCUCAAUUAGUGAUCAAGGGGGAAAGGCCCCUUGUGGGUGGGACCAUCUCUGGGCUGGUAGCCUUGAUUCUAUAAGAGAGCAGGCUGAGCAAGCCAGGGGAAGCAAGCCAGUAAAGAACAUCCCUCCAUGGCCUCUGCAUCAGCUCCUGCUUCCUGACCUGCUUGAGUUCCAGUCCUGACUUCCUUGGUGAUGAACAGCAGUAUGGAAGUGUAAGCUGAAUAAACCCUUUCCUCCCUAACUUGCUUCUUGGUCAUGAUGUUUGUGCAGGAAUAGAAACCCUGACUAAGACACCCUCUGUCUGGUGAAUCUUUUUGAAAUGUAUUAACUUAAAAGACCCUACUCUCUGCUAACCAAAGAGUUCAGCAUGUCAUCAGACAGGCCAGGAGCAAAACUUUCCCUAGUUUGCUUUAAGCAUCUGCCUGGUGUCUCUACCAGUGUAUUUGGGG
rnacentral:lncRNA from 1 species